rnacentral:rRNA from 1 species
GACGAACGCUGGCGGCGUGCCUAAUACAUGCAAGUCGAACGAAGCUGUUUUAACUGGUGCUUGCACCGACUUAAACAACUGAGUGGCGAACGGGUGAGUAACACGUGGGUAACCUGCCCCAAAGCGGGGGAUAACAUUUGGAAACAGAUGCUAAUACCGCAUAACCACAGAAACCACAUGGUUUCUGUGUCAAAGAUGGUUUCGGCUAUCACUUUGGGAUGGACCCGCGGCGUAUUAGCUAGUUGGUAAGGUAAUGGCUUACCAAGGCAAUGAUACGUAGCCGAACUGAGAGGUUGAUCGGCCACAUUGGGACUGAGACACGGCCCAAACUCCUACGGGAGGCAGCAGUAGGGAAUCUUCCACAAUGGACGAAAGUCUGAUGGAGCAACGCCGCGUGAGUGAAGAAGGUUUUCGGAUCGUAAAACUCUGUUGUCAGGGAAGAACGUGUGCGAGAGUAACUGCUCGUGCAGUGACGGUAUCUGGCCAGAAAGCCACGGCCAACUACGUGCCAGCCGCCGCUGUAA